CAAUAGCGUAUAUUAAAGUUGUUGCAGUUAAAAAGCUCGUAGUUGGAGUUCAGAGUGAGCUCGUCCGGUCGGCCUUAUGGGUCAGAACUGGUUGACUCUCUCUUGUUUGUGGAUCCUGUUCGGAGUUAAUUCUUCGGAUGUGGAGUCCACAUCGUUUUACCUUGAAAAAAUUAGAGUGUUCAAAGCAGGCGUUUGCUUGAAUAUAUUAGCAUGGAAUAAUGGAAUAGGACGCUGGUUCUAUUUUGUUGGUUUUGAGAACCAGAGUAAUGAUUAACAGGGACAGUUGGGCCGUUUAUAUUUCGUUGUCAGAGGUGAAAUUCUUGGAUUUGUUAAAGACUAACUUAUGCGAAAGCAUUUGCCAAGGAUGUUUCAUUAAUCAAGAACGAAAGUUAGGGGAUCAAAGACGAUUAGAUACCA
rnacentral:rRNA from 1 species